GGAGCGAGCUGAUGCGACUUUUUUAUUUUAUUUUCCGUUUUCUUUUUCUAACAUAGAGAGAGAGAGAGAGAGAGAGAGAGAGAGGCGGGAUGCGGGAGGAGGUGAUUAGCUCUGGGACGGCGGACGUUGUUGCGCUCGCUAGGUCUUCUUCUCCACCUCCGACACCAGCCGCGAGUUCUGUUGGGGCAUCCUCUCCUGCUGCUCCAACAAAUGCAACCAGCAUUGAUUGGCUUGGUAGCAUUCAGGGUUCUAAGGUUGGAUCUUUAUCUUGUAUUGGUCCUCAACCACCUCGGACUUCAUUGAGCACAAAUGCUUGUGGCUCUGCCUUGGGAACCUCAGAACCUUCAUGCCGACCCUGGGAACGGGGAGAUCUACUUCGUCGUCUUGCCACAUUCAAGCCUUCAAAUUGGUCUGCAAAACCAAAGGGUGCAAGUUCACUAUUCUGUGCACGUAGAGGAUGGAUUAAUGUUGAUGCAGACGUGAUUGAAUGUGAAUCUUGUGGUGCUCAACUCACUUUUACUCUGUCAGCAUCUUGGACUUCCUCAGAAGUUGACCGGGCUGUGGAAGCAUUUACUGAGCAACUGGAUGCGGGUCACAAAGAUUCUUGUUCUUGGAGAGGAAAUUGCUGUGCUGACAGUUUAGUGCAAUUCCCUCCCACCACUCCAUCAGUGAUUAUUGGUGGUUAUAAAGAUCGUUGUGAUGGCCUUUUGCAGUUUCCUUCUCUUCCAGUGGUAGCUUCAUCUGCUAUUGAGACUAUGAGGCUUACAAGGAGCACACAGAUUGAUCAGUUUUUAGCUCAGCCAAGUGGUUUUUUUUCUGGGGAAUUAGGUUGUAAAGCUGAUAGCAAUGCAGCGAGAAAAAUAUCUCGAGACUAUCACACUUGUGGUCAUUUGCAUGCACAAAAACUUAUAAGUCUCUGUGGAUGGGAGCCUAGAUGGAUCCCAAAUAUUCAAGAUUGUGAGGAAAACUCUGCUGAAUCUGCUAAGAAUGCACACUCAGUCCAUCAUGCUGAAGAUGAAUACAAUCAUUCUGAUUUUCGUGUACUUAGCAAGAAUGCAUUCACUGCUUCCAAAAAGAAAGACAAAGGAAAGGGGAAAGCCUCUAUCGAAGAACCAAAAUACAACACAAGGUCCCCUUUACUUGAUUGCAGCUUAUGUGGUGCAACUGUCAGAAUCUGGGAUUUUUGUACAGUGCCUCGUCCUGCUCGAUUUGGUGCCAAUAAUACUGAUACUCCUGAUGCUGGCAAAAAGUUAACAUUGACACGAGGUACAAGUGCUGCUAGUGGUGUCAAUGGAUCGGCUACUGCAAAUGUUAUGGAAAAAGAGCAUAUUGAGGAACGUGAUGAAGCUGCAAUAGCAGAUGAUGGUAAAUCACAGUCAGUUGGUGUAGAUUUGAAUCUUACUAUGGCAGGAGGACUGCCAUCCCAUAAUUCUGGAUUGCCAAUAAUGCCUGAACGUUUUGAUGACGGAACUAUGGGAAGGGAUUUGAUGAUUGGCCAGCCUACUGGAAGUGAAGUUGGAGAUCGGGCUGCUUCUUAUGAAUCACGUGGUCCAAGUUCUAGGAAGCGUAGCUUGGAGGAUGGUGGGAGCACUGUUGAUAGGCCACAAGAUAGAGUUAUGCAUGCCGACAGUAUAGAAGGAACUGUUAUUGACCGAGAUGGAGAUGAAGUUGAUGAUGACUCACAAUACUCAGGGGGGCCUAACAAACGGGCUCGUGCAUUUGAUAUUUUUGAUGCAUAUCAUCCUUUGUCCAGGAUGGGUUCAUCUGGUGCCGGUCCCAGUCGAAAUUUAUGCUUUGAUAUUGAUGUUGAUGCAAAUAGAGUUGACGCCUUUAAAGAAGAGAGUGACAUGGGUGCUGGACUCCCAUCUCACAGAGAUUCUGCUCGUGCUUCCUCUGUAAUUGCUAUGGACAUGGUUUAUAGUGGUGAAGAAGAUUCCAUGGAAAGUGUUGAAAAUUACCCUGGAGAUGUUGCAGAUGUCCAAUUUCCUUCUCCUAGCAUGCAUAGGCAUCUCGAUAUGAAUGAUGCUUUGGAUUCUAGUAAUCAAAUUCAGCAAAAUGCAUACAUCCAACAUGCUGCUGCAAGUGUUGCUAGGGAAGUUGGGGGUAGCAGUACUGUCGAAGGGGAAGAAAUUGUAAAUGCUGAAACUGUGACUGCUUAUGCUCGGGAUAGGAUAAGCCUAGGAAUUAGUGGUGGAAGUGUUGGUAUGGGUGCAAGUCAUGAGGCCGAAAUUCAUGGAAAUGAUAUCUCUGUACAUAGGGCAGAUAGUAUUGUAGGUGAUCCUGAACCCAUUGCUGAAGUCACUGAGAAUUUGGGACAAACUGGUGAGUCUGUCCCAGGACCUGCAUUAGUGGAUGAGUCUCUUCCAGGACCAGUCAUUAGAGAAGAUCCUCAUGGCGAUAGCCAGGAGAUGAUGUCUCAAUCAGUUGGAAGAGCUGAUAGUGGCUCAAAGGUUUAUGGUUCCCACACAAUAUGUCCUGAGAACAGUGCACAUCCUUCACUUUCUUGCAAUGCUAUGAUAUACUCAGCUUAUGAAGUAUCCAAAGAAGAGGUAACACAGAUGGGCAAUGUGUCAAUUACUGAUGAUUAUGGACUCAUGAUAUCUGACAAUAUUCCUGGAAAUGGGAUAGGAACAACAAAUGGAGAAAAUGGAUAUUAUGUUGAAAAUGGAGAGUUUGAUCCUCUUAAGCAUCACAACUGCCAUUGCCCAUGGGUUAAUGGAAAUGUAGCUGUAGCUGGUUGUAGCAGUGACAUUGGAUCCACUUUGAGCAAUUCAGAAGUUGCCUGUGGUUGGGAAUGGACAUUGGAUGCCCUAGAUACUCUCCAGUCUCUUGGUCAUCUACCAAACCAAAUGAUGCCAUCUGAAUCUGCUGCUUCUCUGUAUAAGCUUAUAAAGAAAAGUGGAUGCUUUGGAACUUAGCCAAUUGCCUAAGAUUUUGCCAGAUGUUAGCCAUUUGUAAGCAGUUCAACAAAUGAGCAGCUCACCAUUUGGUGCAGGCUGAUCAUGUUACUCCUAGUCAGAAACUUUUGGUACACCGCUCUGUAAAUAAAAGGCAAGGAAAACGUUGAUCAUUCAUCCCCCUGGACUGUUAUUUACAGGCCUGCAUGGCUGGUUUUUCGGUUGGCGUUGGCAGGCAUGACUGAAUGGAUUGUUGCGGAGACCUGAACUUUUUAAUAUGAUCUUUAGCUUCCUUUAAAACAUUGGACUUUUUCUGAUACAGUGGCAGUCAUAAUUGUUAAGUUAUAUUUUUCAAGAGUUUGGCAAUUGGCAUUGAAGUUAAAGUGUUUGUGGUGUAUUCUUAGAUUGCCUGGUAUAUUCUUAGAUUGCUUCUUUAAUAAUCAAAAUUUGGUAUGUGAUGAAUUUUUGGCUUCA